UCUACGGGAGGCUGCAGUGAGGAAUAUUGGUCAAUGGGCGCGAGCCUGAACCAGCCAAGUAGCGUGAAGGAUGACUGCCCUACGGGUUGUAAACUUCUUUUAUAAAGGAAUAAAGUGAGACACGUGUGCCUUUUUGUAUGUACUUUAUGAAUAAGGAUCGGCUAACUCCGUGCCAGCAGCCGCGGUAAUACGGAGGAUCCGAGCGUUAUCCGGAUUUAUUGGGUUUAACGGGAGCGUAGGUGGGUUGUUAAGUCAGUUGUGAAAGUUUGCGGCUCAACCGUGAAAUUGCCAUUGAUACUGGCAGACUUGAGUACAGUUGAGGUAGGCGGAAUUCAUGGUGUAGCGGUGAAAUGCUUAGAUAUCACGAAGAACUCCGAUUGCGAAGGCAGCUUACUAAACUGCCACUGACAUUGAGGCUCGAAAGUGUGGGUAUCAAACAGGAUUAGAUACCCCUGUAGUC
rnacentral:rRNA from 1 species